rnacentral:rRNA from 1 species
UACGUAGGGACCAAGCGUUGUUCGGAUUUACUGGGCGUAAAGGGCGCGUAGGCGGCGCGGUAAGUCACUUGUGAAAUCUCUGAGCUUAACUCAGAACGGCCAAGUGAUACUGCAGUGCUAGAGUGUGGAAGGGGCGAUCGGAAUUCUUGGUGUAGCGGUGAAAUGCGUAGAUAUCAGGAGGAACACCGGUGGCGAAGGCGGCUCUCUGGUCCACAACUGACGCUGAGGUGCGAAAGCCAGGGGAGCAAACGGG